CGAGAGAGGCUGGAAGCACUGGGGACUGCUAAUCCCUCAGCACCACGGCUAAACUCCGUGGCUCACUCG
rnacentral:tRNA from 1 species